rnacentral:rRNA from 1 species
CAUCGGUGACAGGUGGUGCAUGGUUGUCGUCAGCUCGUGUCGUGAGAUGUUGGGUUAAGUCCCGCAACGAGCGCAACCCCUAUUGUUAGUUGCCAUCAUUCAGUUGGGCACUCUAGCGAGACUGCCGGUAAUAAACCGGAGGAAGUGGGGAUGACGUCAAAUCACCAUGCCCCUUAUGACCUGGGCUACACACGUGCUACAAUGGUUGGUACAACGAGUUGCGAGUCGGUGACGGCGAGCUAAUCUCUUAAAGCCAAUCUCAGUUCGGAUUGUAGGCUGCAACUCGCCUACAUGAAGUCGGAAUCGCUAGUAAUCGCGGAUCAGCACGCCGCGGUGAAUACGUUCCCGGGCCUU